rnacentral:tRNA from 1 species
GCCCUGAUGGUGAAAUUGGUAGACACAAGGGAUUUAAAAUCCCUCGACGGAAAAGUUGUGCCGGUUCAAAUCCGGCUCAGGGCA